rnacentral:rRNA from 1 species
CAAUAGCGUAUAUUAAAGUUGUUGCGGUAAAAAAGCUCGUAGUUGGAUUUCUACCGAAGAUAGCCGGUCGGGUCUUCGACCUUGUAUCUGGUUUUGUCUUUGGUAUCCUCAUAGGGAACGUUUCUGCGCUUUAUUGCGUGGUGCGGUAUCUAUGACUUUUACUUUGAGGAAAUUAGAGUGUUCACGGCAGGCAAACGCCUUGAAUAUAUUAGCAUGGAAUAAUAACAUAGGAUCUUCGUCCUAUUUUGUUGGUUUCUAGGGCUAAGAUAACGAUUAAUAGGGAUAAUUGGGGGCAUCUGUAUCAACGCGUCAGAGGUGGAAUUCUUGGAUUGCGUUGCGACAAACUACUGCGAAAGCAUUUGCCAAGGAUGUUUUCAUUGA